AGAGUUUGAUCCUGGCUCAGAUUGAACGCUGGCGGAAUGCUUUACACAUGCAAGUCGAACGGCAGCACGGGAGCUUGCUCCUGGUGGCGAGUGGCGAACGGGUGAGUAAUACAUAGGAACAUACCCAGUAAUGGGGGAUAACGCCGAGAAAUCGGUGCUAAUACCGCAUACGCCCUACGGGGGAAAGCGGGGGAUCUUCGGACCUCGCGUUAUCGGAUUGGCCUAUGUCUGAUUAGCUAGUUGGUGAGGUAAAGGCUCACCAAGGCGACGAUCAGUAGCUGGUCUGAGAGGAUGAUCAGCCACACUGGAACUGAGACACGGUCCAGACUCCUACGGGAGGCAGCAGUGGGGAAUUUUGGACAAUGGGCGAAAGCCUGAUCCAGCCAUUCCGCGUGAGUGAAGAAGGCCUUCGGG
rnacentral:rRNA from 1 species